rnacentral:rRNA from 1 species
AUUGAACGCUGGCGGAAUGCUUUACACAUGCAAGUCGAACGGCAGCACGGGGGCAGCCCUGGUGGCGAGUGGCGAACGGGUGAGUAAUACAUCGGAACGUGCCCGGUCGUGGGGGAUAACGUAGCGAAAGUUACGCUAAUACCGCAUACGAUCUGAGGAUGAAAGCGGGGGACCUUCGGGCCUCGCGCGAUCGGAACGGCCGAUGUCAGAUUAGGUAGUUGGUGGGGUAAAGGCCUACCAAGCCGACGAUCUGUAGCUGGUCUGAGAGGACGACCAGCCACACUGGGACUGAGACACGGCCCAGACUCCUACGGGAGGCAGCAGUGGGGAAUUUUGGACAAUGGGCGCAAGCCUGAUCCAGCCAUUCCGCGUGCAGGACGAAGGCCUUCGGGUUGUAAACUGCUUUUGUACGGAACGAAAAGGCUCUGGCUAAUACCUGGGGCUCAUGACGGUACCGUAAGAAUAAGCACCGGCUAACUACGUG